UACGUAGGGUGCAAGCGUUAAUCGGAAUUACUGGGCGUAAAGCGUGCGCAGGCGGUUGUGCAAGACCGAUGUGAAAUCCCCGGGCUUAACCUGGGAAUGGCAUUGGUGACUGCACGGCUAGAGUGUGUCAGAGGGGGGUAGAAUUCCACGUGUAGCAGUGAAAUGCGUAGAGAUGUGGAGGAAUACCGAUGGCGAAGGCAGCCCCCUGGGCCAAUACUGACGCUCAUGCACGAAAGCGUGGGGAGCGAACAGG
rnacentral:rRNA from 1 species